rnacentral:rRNA from 1 species
GACGUAGGGCGCGAGCGUUGUCCGGAUUUAUUGGGCGUAAAGAGCGUGUAGGCGGCCAGGUAGGUCUGCUGUGAAAACUCGAGGCUUAACCUCGAGCUGUCGGCGGAAACCAUCUGGCUAGAGUCCGGAAGAGGAGAAUGGAAUUCCCGGCGUAGCGGUGAAAUGCGCAGAUAUCGGGAAGAACACCCGUGGCGAAGGCGGUUCUCUGGGACGGUACUGACGCUGAGACGCGAAAGCGUGGGGAGCGAACAGG